rnacentral:lncRNA from 10 species
CGGGGAUGCGGUCUGGAUUCUGGAGGAGGCCUCGGCGCGCAGCUGGGCGAGUACUAACUGUUUGCACUCUCAUCAGACCUGCCUCGGUCAUGGGAGAAGUUGAAGACUUUCUGCAAUGCAGCAUCUUCAAGCAAUACACACAUGGAUGAAAAUCCUAAAGUUUGCAUGAAGGACCAAUAACGUGCCUAGAAACAGGCAAAGUGAGGGAGCUCCUUUGCUAGAUGAUCUUCAGAGCCUCUCCCAGCUGUGACCAGAAAUGGAAAGCCAGAGAAGGAUGCCUCGGGGUGGAAACGGGAUGACAGCCAGUGGUUUCUCCACACAUGGACUUGCCAGAACCUUUCCCGAAAUGCUAGGUUGGAAAACUCACAGCUGAUUAAUUACCGCAGUCCACGGCUUACUCCGUCGGGAGUUCCCCAGGUGCCAUGCCCAGCUCUGGCUGCUGUCCAGGUGACACCACCUCACCCUGGGAGACGCCUUCCUGCUGGGUGGGACCUGGCAUAUGGAAUCCCUGUCUUCCUGUUUCUUGCUUUGCUUGCACACAAAGUUAAGUAAGUAUCUGUCUGUGAAAGGAUAUUGAUACAUAAAAUAUUUGAAUGCAUA